rnacentral:rRNA from 1 species
CCUACGGGUGGCAGCAGUGGGGAAUAUUGCACAAUGGGGGGAACCCUGAUGCAGCAAUGCCGCGUGGGUGAAGAAGCACUCCGGUGCGUAAAGCCCUGUCAGCAGGGAAGAAAAUGACAGUGCCUGGACAAGAAGCCCCGGCUAACUACGUGCCAGCAGCCGCGGUAAUACGUAGGGGGCAAGCGUUAUCCGGAUUUACUGGGGGUAAAGGGGGCGCAGGCGGCGUGGCAAGUCAGAUGUGAAAACCCGGGGCUAAACUUUGGGACGGCUUUUGAAGCUGAGUAGCGAGAGUGCAGGAGGGGUAAGGGGAAUUCCUGGGGUAGGGGGGAAAUGGGUAGAGAUUAGGAGGAAAACCAGGGGCGAAGGCGGCUUACGGGACGGUAACUGACGUUGAGGCUCGAAAGCGUGGGGAGCAAACAGGAUUAGAUACCCCAGUAGU